UUCUUCCUGACUCGCACUGAUUUAAAGUCCGCGAUAUGUUCUCGGCUUAUAUGACUUGUAUGGUACGAAUCGAGCAUCUUCUCAGAAUCAACUGGAAGUGCUAAACCAAAAUUUCGGAUUUUUGUUGUAGCGCACUUUUGUCCUUGUGCUGGACUUUUUUUAAAGAUCAAAAGAGUGAUCGGAUUGCGUUUGUUUAAGACGGCUGGCAUGUUCGUCGGGGCCAAUCGACGAACGGGGUGUAAGGUUUUUGGUGGUCG
rnacentral:lncRNA from 1 species